rnacentral:ncRNA from 1 species
UGUCUCCUCCACCCUCCUCCUUAGGUGGAUUCCAACCCAGGCCUCAAGCCUGGGUUUUUUUUG